UGGAAGGGUUGUAUUUAUUAGAUAAAGGACCAAUUUAAUUUGGUGAUUCAUAAUAACUUUACGGAUCACAUUUAUAUGUGACAUAUCAUUCAAGUUUCUGACCUAUCAGCUUUAGACGGUAGGGUAUUGGCCUACCGUGGCAAUGACGGGUAACGGGGAAUUAGGGUUCGAUUCCGGAGAGGGAGCCUGAGAAACGGCUACCACAUCUAAGGAAGGCAGCAGGCGCGCAAACUACCCAAUCCUAAUACAGGGAGGUAGUGACAAGAAAUAACAAUACAGGACUCUAAAUAGUUUUGUAAUUGGAAUGAGUUAAGUAUAAACCCCUUUACAAGUAUCAAUUGGAGGGCAAGUCUGGUGCCAGCAGCCGCGGUAAUUCCAGCUCCAAUAGCGUAUAUUAAAGUUGUUGCAGUUAAAAAGCUCGUAGUUGGAUUUCUGUUAAUAAUUUAUAUACAAUAUUUCCUAGUAUUUAUAUAAUAUUAACAUAAUUCAUAUUGCUAAUUUUAUUAGUAUAUGAAAUUUUACUUUGAGAAAAUUAGAGUGCUUAAAGCAGGCAUUUGCCUUGAAUACUCCAGCAUGGAAUAAUAUAGAAGAUUUUUAUCCCUUUUAUUGGUUCUAAGAUAAAAAUAAUGAUUAAUAGGGACAGUUGGGGGCAUUUGUAUUUAACAGUUAGAGGUGAAAUUCUUAGAUUUGUUAAAGACAAACUAGUGCGAAAGCAUUUGCCAAGGAUGUUUUCAUUAAUCAAGAACGAAAGUUAGGGGAUCGAAGACGAUCAGAUACCGUCGUAGUCUUAACCAUAAACUAUGCCAACUAGAGAUUGGAGGUUGUUCCUUACUCCUU
rnacentral:rRNA from 1 species